CAAUAGCGUAUAUUAAAGUUGUUGCAGUUAAAAAACUCGUAGUUGGAUUUCUGGUUCUUUGUUUUCCCUACUCGAAUGAGUAAGAGGAGAACGGGGAUGCCAUAUUUGUGAGAAUCUAGUUUGCGAUUAAUUUCGUGUUCUAGGGUAUCACAUCGUUUACUGUGAAAAAAUUAGAGUGUUUAAAGCAGGCAUUUUUGCUGUGAAUACAUUAGCAUGGAAUAAUAAGAUAGGACUUUGGUGCUAUUUUAUUGGUUUGCACACCAAAGUAAUGAUUAACAGGGACGGUUGGGGGUAUUCGUAUUUAGUUGUCAGAGGUGAAAUUCUUGGAUUUACGAAAGACGAACUACUGCGAAAGCAUUUACCAAGGAUGUUUUCAUUAAC
rnacentral:rRNA from 1 species